UUGAUCAAUUGAGGUUAAACACAAAAGUGGAUGAAUGAAUGGAGUUGUUGGGGGUUUACAAUUUCAUCUAAUUCGCUCUCUCUUACAUACUACCCUUGAAUAUUAGUUUGAUUAAUUCAAUUGUUAUGCGACUUUCUUAGCCUCCUCUUAACCCGAUCCCUCGGCGAAAAGGGACUAAUAUUAACUAUUGGCUUGCUAUCCCUAGCCUCCCCUGGUAAUUCAUACCGCAUUAUAAACAGAAGUUAGCGCAAUUGAUCGUCCUACCCCUAUCCCUAGGUGGUAUUGCAAAAUCA
rnacentral:lncRNA from 1 species